AAGGAACCUUGAUGUGCGUCUCCAGUUUGACUUCCUCCUUCCCCGAGAAGAAGUUCUCCUCUUUCAGCUUGCCAAAUAUCCGACCCUGGGCCUGGACAUAAGAGGAGAGCGUGAGGAAAAUAAUUUACUCAUUUCUCAAGUGAUACUUCUUGCAGCCAUAUUUAUAAUUAGGUUACCUUAAAUUGAGCCUCUGGCGUGCCGGUAAUGAUCACCAUUCUCUCUGUGACAUCGGGACUCUCAGCUGGGGCGAUCUGAAGGCAAAUCAGAGAGGAGAAAUUGGAGCGUACAUUUCAUUCCAAUUUUUUUUGAAGGUGAAACUGUGAGGUCUCCGCACCUUGAUGGAGGCUCCAGCAAAGUGGGCGAGCUGCUUAAUAUGCUGGCCCUUCUUGCCAAUGAGAGCUCCCACUGCCUGAGUUGGAAUAAAGAGGUAGACAACCUCCUGUUCUGGAGCCUGUGGGUGGAAACAAAGAUGCUUUUAAGCACACACACAAGGAGUGAAAAUGCUUUUUUUUUGUAUUUUAGUUCUCCGGGAAGCAGACAAGAAAAGAUGACAGAGCGUGAACUCGAUACCACAUGAGCCAAGUCUGGAGGCAAGACAGCCAAAAAAAUUCCUGUCAAAGUUUCCACUAGAAGACACAAAUGAUGUAAAAGUAGCUUUCAAGAAGUCUCUACAGACAAAUUUGAGUUUCACAACUUUUUAUCAUAAAAAUCGAAAUGUUUUUUCAUGGUGUAAAUUUGAUGUUUUCAAUUCUGAUAACUGAAUCAUUUUUUGUAAUGAAUUGCAGAUGUGCCUUGAGAUGCACGUUUGAUUCCAACAAUUAUGCUUGUGUUUUUUUUACAAAACUAAUAACAUUUACUUUCCACAUAACCAGCAAAUAUGGAAAAUGAAAGCAUGACACAUGUCUGUCCUUAAUGUAAACAACCCAUCUGUUGGUUUUCAAAAUCCAAUCACAAAAGUUUGCCAGCACAUCCAUGUUUUAAGAUAAGCCGAGGUGUCCGUCAAGUGUAACGCUCUUGUAUGUUUUGACCCGACGCCUGCAAACAAAAUUCGGCUAAGAGUUGAGCUUUUUGCCGUCUGGCCUCGUGUAUUUGUGUACUUGUGGUUUAUUGAGUGGAUUUAAUGAGCCCUAGCUCAACUCUGGGCUGGAACUCUCAAUCCAGACAUAUUUGUGGUGUUCUGGUGGCGGUGGUGAUACUGAGAUGCUGAUGAGGGAUUCUCGAUGCUAUUUUUUUCCCCUUGAAUCCAAUUCAGGGAUUUAAGAAACUUUUCUCCUUCCAAUAGCACUCAAAAGGUGACAUUUUGCCACACAGCAAAAGAAGACAUGAUCUCUUGUGUUCAAUUCAAUACUAAAUAAUUCUACUCAUGGGCCACAACAUUAGGUACGCCUGCACGUCCCAGUAAUAUCCGAACAAC